UACGGGGGGGGCAAGCGUUGUUCGGAAUUACUGGGCGUAAAGGGCUCGUAGGCGGCCAACUAAGUCAUACGUGAAAUCCCUCAGCUUAACUGGGGAACUGCGUGUGAUACUGGAUGGCUUGGAUUUGGGAGAGGGAUGCGGAAUUCCAGGUGUAGCGGUGAAAUGCGUAGAUAUCGGAAGGAACAUCAGUGGCGAAAGCGACUUCCUGGACCAGUACCGACGUUCAGGCACGAAAUCGUGGUGAGCAAACAGG
rnacentral:rRNA from 1 species